rnacentral:lncRNA from 10 species
CACCGUGUUAGCCAGGAUGGUCUCGAUCUUCUGACCUCGUGAUCUGCCCACCUCGGCCUCCCAAAGUGCUGCUGGGAUUACAGGCGUGAGCCACCGCGCCCGGCCGAAUUAUUAUCUUAAUAUUACCACUUUAUAGCUGGGAAACUGGGGGCCCCAAAGAGUCACUAAUUAGUCAGAUGUUCCACAGCAUUAGUCAAAAAGCCAAGAGCAAGAUGAAGUUCAUUCCGAAACAAGUAAUGUUUGAGCACCUGCCACGCGCCAGGUG